GUUUUAAUAGGAAUUUGAAGCCUUCUCAUUCAAGAUUUGCACUAAAGCAUUUUAGAGUUAAAGUCAAACUAGUGUUUACAUCAACCAAAAUAAUACUUUUGAGAACCUGGAAUUCUGCAUCUUUUUCCAAGGAAUAAAACUUUGUAAGAUGCCUUGGAGAAGUUGCUGCGAAUCAGCAAUUUGGAAGCCGUGUAGCUGGGAGACUCUGACUUAGGGUCUCCCACUGGGUUGCAAUGAAGAUGCUGGAUGGAGCUGCAUCAUCUAAAGGGAGGCAGGAUCUG